rnacentral:rRNA from 1 species
GAUGAACGCUGGCGGCGUGCUUAACACAUGCAAGUCGAACGAUGAACCGGGUGCUUGCACUCGGGGAUUAGUGGCGAACGGGUGAGUAACACGUGAGCAACCUGCCCCUGACUCUGGGAUAAGCGCUGGAAACGGCGUCUAAUACUGGAUAUGUCCCGUCACCGCAUGGUGUGCGGGUGGAAAGAUUUUUCGGUUGGGGAUGGGCUCGCGGCCUAUCAGCUUGUUGGUGAGGUAAUGGCUCACCAAGGCGUCGACGGGUAGCCGGCCUGGGAGGGUGGCCGGCCACACUGGGACUGAGACACGGCCCAGACUCCUACGGGAGGCAGCAGUGGGGAAUAUUGCACAAUGGGCGGAAGCCUGAUGCAGCAACGCCGCGUGAGGGAUGACGGCCUUCGGGUUGUAAACCUCUUUUAGCAGGGAAGAAGCGAGAGUGACGGUACCUGCAGAAAAAGCACCGGCUAACUACGUGCCAGCAGCCGCCGUAA